AUGGGAGCUUUCCCUUCACCGCCCCCAUGGGGGUGGUCCACAGGGUUCAUAACUACCCCUCUUACUACGGGGCGUUUACCUAGCCAACACUUAGAUCCGGCUCUACCCAAACUUUUUUGGUUCACCCCAACAUUACCCACUUGUCCGACUGUUGCUAAGCAGUUUUGGGAUACUAAACGGACCUCCCCAGAUGGUAAUCUUAAAGUGGCCGAUUUACCCUCUUUUGCAAUGAGUUUCGCUACAGCACCUGCUGCUCUAGCUAAUUGCCCACCCCUUCCACGUGUGAUUUCUAUGUUAUGCAUGGCCGUGCCUAAGGGCAUAUCGGUUGAAGGGCGCUUCCGGUUCUGUGCGUGCUUCAAACAAUUUUGUCUUCUCCAUAUUACCAUAUGUCUAGAUGAUCGAUUUCUAGGUUUCGUCGUAAACCUAAUUGGUUACUUCCAAUUACGUAAAUCAAUAGUUCAAACCGCACUCAAAGGUAGGGCAUUUCCCAUUGAUAUAGGAACUUUUGUACCAGAAACAAUAGUAUCUCCAAUUAUAGCCCCUCUGGGAUGUAAAAUAUAUCUCUUCUCACCAUCCCCAUAG
rnacentral:rRNA from 1 species